GUCAGGUUAUCUUUUGUCCUUCCUAGAGGUACAUGUUUGUUGUUAAAUUCCCAGUGCUGUUUUUGUAAUCUUGUUUCUACUUUGUUGCCAGGCUCUCUUCCUUUUUGUUUCUUCAAGAGCGUGUGGAUUCCGCCUUUGCCUGUGCCCCCUUUGUUUUGCAUUAGUUUACUCUCCUAGUAAAAGAUUCCAAACCUUGAAAGAAUUUUCUGUUGCCUUAUUGCUCUGCACCUGAGUCGAAGUCCUGACCCCUCACAACAACUCGCGGAGGAGAUGAAACCGACGGCAGCGACGCUGCUGAUGUUUCUGCUUUUCCAGGAGCCAUUAAUCAGGAUCCAAUAAAAGGCCGAUAAGAACUCAAUGGAUCUCGUCAAUGCUCGUUGGUGUUUCACUCAUCACGUCUGCGUUGAGAAAACAUCUGUUAUCCGUCAUUGUGAUAUUAAGCACGUCGAGGGGUCCAGCAGUAAAAGUGCUGCUCAGAGAACUUCCAGAACCUCGGAUGGAUAAAUAGAGCCUCCUCCAGGAGGAAGCAUCAGAACCAGAAGUUUGCAGCGAGUGAAACAGAUGAUAAAGAGAAAAGGCCGUUCGUCCCUCUGACCUCAUCGCUGCCUUUACGUUCAGCGUCCACGCGCACGCUCGAGCAGAAGCACCCACACACGUGCACGCACAUGGCCGUGGAAUGACGGGGGGGGGCGGGGCUUCUGUAAUGACACGGUCACAUCUCGGUAAUUACAGGAGAAACUGACAGUGAUCCAUCAGCCCGCUGAGGUGCACGCCACGAGCGGCGCGUUCACGCACCCGGUUAUUAUGCAUGAACAUGUAUGGAAGCCGCGCUCGUGGUUUGUAACGUAGAAGAUACUGCCACCGAGGAACCUCCCUCGGGAGUUUGUUCACGGAAAUAUUGUGGUAUUUUAACCAUAAAUGCAAAUAUAUUCCGUCAGGUGAGGAUGUUUUCUUGUUAAAGCCUCAGCGGCCCACGAUUGAUCGUAACUGUGAAGUAAUUAGCUGCAUUUCAUGUACAUCUAACGCUUAUUUGCAUAAUGCCCUCUGGUAGGAUACAUGUGUACGCACAUGUUAUUGCAUUCUUGCUACACGAGAUCCAUUCUGAUACAUAAAAAGUAAAAACAUACCUGUACGAUUCAAUAGGAAUAAAAUACCAACAAUGGAGACAAAGACAAACAUACAAGGACACGUGUUGCACAUGCAUAUAAGGUCACACAAAAGAUAGCUCGAAAACACCCCGUGAUUCCACACACACACACACACACACUCACUCAAUACACGCAUUUGGAAGAGAUAUUUCAACACAACACGAGGUCACGGCAUCGCCGAUAAGAUCUCUCCUCCUGGCACGGCCCCAGACGGCCUCCUGUUCGCGCUCCGGGACCUCGACCGAGCUUUUGUGCCGUGUGAGUCUCUGUGGCACCCUCUCUCAUACACACACACACAGACACACACACACACACACAGCGUGCAGCGGCCCAGCCAGUUACUCCUCCCAGAGGAGCGGCUGAUGAGGCUCUGGAUUGAGGAGUGAAACGGACGCCGUGUUGGAGGGUUACGAUGAUUACCGUCAUUACCAGGAGAACCACGCCGCCGGCGUCCAGCUGCACCGGGAACACGAAAGCGCGGGUGAACCAGCGACGUAUUGGGACGGGAAACAAGGUCGAUGGCGUGGACGAGCCUCAAUGUUUCUCUCAUUAAAUGGAAAGCUGUUCAAGUCACGUGGUUCAAGAGAAGUAACGCUUCCAGUGGGACGUAAAGUUGUCGCUUCGAGGUUUGAUCUUCUUACAGCAUCCAGAUCAGGUUUACCAGUGAACAUCACACCACUCACAUUUAUAGGGGCAGCUGUUUGAAAUCUCUCUCUCUCUCUCUCUCUGUGUGUCUCUCACUGUCUCUCUCUCAUUUGCUGGAAGCUCUCGCUUGGCAGCGAGCGGCUACGUGAUGGGAGGCUUAAGUGCGUGUCCCAAAAUCUGACACCAGCCAGGAUGAUACUUUGUCAUGUGACAGAAGAGCUGCUGCUCGUCACGAGGGAAACGCCGUCCGACCCCGUCUCUGCUGGUGGGGGGGGGCGACUACCCUAAGAUCUGCCAUUCAAUGACCUGCUUUAACAAACUAUUAACAGACUGUUUACAGGAGUUACACCGAACGAAAAUAACCGGCGGUCAGAUCAACACUAAACCUUCAAACUAAAGCCGCUUUCAAAACAUUUGGAAUCAUUUCAGGAAGAUUUCUAUACGCAGAGACACUACUUUCCUAAUGAAGGGACGGAAAAGGAUCCUGGUCCGAAGGUCCCGGAGCGCGUGACCACUGACCCACAACGGCGGUCAGGGGGCUGUUACUCAUUUGGGGAGGGAGUGUGUGUGUCAUUGCAUCAGAGAUAAGAGAUGUGGUGAGACACGACGGGGUUUGUGCACCGUGUCUUUGCAAUGCAGAAAAGUGGGAACCACGAAACGUUGUGUGUGUGUGUCUGUGUGUGUGUGUGUGUGUGUGUGUGUGUGUGUGUGAUUAUCAUGCUUGAAGGGAGAGUGUGAGGUCCGUUUGCGUGUGUUCGGGUCGGACAGAUAAGAUAUUAUCAAAGUCCUUUUCAAACAGGCUUCGACCGCCCCCCCCGAGACGCCAACACCGAAAUUACAGCACGGCGGCUAUCAGGGGUUCAAAGGUCGGCCCCCCCGAGCGGCGAGGUUGACUUCUGGCGACCCCGAGCGAGUCACGACCACCGCCGUUUGUUUGCUGCACAUUCCAGCCGAGCGUUCACUCGUUCAUCCACUUUCCUUUAAUGUUUACGGGAGAAAAAAACGACGUCUGCGUUCCAUCCGUUAAAAUAAUGAACGUUUCCGUGUUUCAGAUCGUCACACGCGGCAGCAAAAGCAGGGACGCUGUUUAAAAUGUCUGUAAUUACUUUGCUUUUACUGGAAUUUCAAUUAUUUCGCCUCGGAGAGGAUUUAUGCACUUUAUGCAUUUAUUUUUAAAUGAAUAGUUUUUAAUUAUCCAGAGACAGG
ensembl:lncRNA